CCCUUCCCCAGUUGUUAUUCCUGGAAAUUGGUGGUUUUUUUCCUUUUGUUUAUUUUGUGUGGGGUAAAGGGACUGGGGGAGUAUAAUCUUGGUUUGGGGAUGUCUGAGAAACUGAAGAGCAGGAAAAAGUGGGUUACGGUAUCCUGUGCCUAACACUGUGCAGGCCCCUGGUCACAUCUGCUUGGCAGGCUUCAGAAGUCACCAUCGGACUGGUCCGAUUGGCCCUCAGAGUAGCUGCAGGCCUCCUACCGGGGCUACCUGGUCUCAACGCUUAGAACAAAAGGUUGUGCUGCACGAAAGAAAGAGACCCGGGCUGUGCAGUGAGGGUAAAGAGCCAAGUGUCCGCGCACAGGGCUGUCUCCUCCCAAGGAAGGGAGUUUCCUCUUCACCUAAAAUCGUGGUCUGCUCACCAAGCCAGAUCCCAGCAGAAGGGCAGCUGGCGUGUCCCGGCUCCCCCCCCCCCCUUCAACUUUGUGGAAAAGUAGCAGAAGUCCGAGAUUCUGAAGCCUAGGUUAGGUAAGUUUCAUUCUAAGAAAUCCCUUUACAACCUAGAUGGAAACUAUUCAGGAAAAAAGAAAAUGUAAAAACCCGAGCGAUUCUGAAGGUGAGCUGGCUGGCCCCCUGGAGCCUGGAAAUUCCCUAACUGCCCCAAACCAUCCCCAGGCCGAGACUCUUAAUCCCAACUGAAGAUCAGUCCUCUGAGAAGGACUGAGAAAAAGCACUGCAGGGAACCGCUACGCCAGGGUCUGUGUCCUGCCCCGAUGCUGAGAAGAGUUUGGGGCAGCCAGCAGCAACCCGUACUGCUCGUACUGCUCGGCCUUUCAGCCUGAGGCUGGAAGGCAAAAGUCCUGAGGACGCCCCUUUACACACCCAGCCCCACCCUCGGGAGAGGCUGCCUGUUGCUAGGUGGAGCAGUUUGCUAGGGAAAUUAAAAGCCGGGUGAAGAAAGCCAGAGCCAGCUUCAACUGCAGAGCUAAGAACUAAAGGGAGGCUCCCGGUCAGGGUGGCGGGCGGGGGCGUGUUGGGCAGAGGCGACUGCAGACUUCCUAAAGCUAAAAAUCGGGAGAGAAGGCAAGGGCGUUGAACUCUGAUUCAUGUCCAUCGCUCCGCUUUUGGGGUUCCUUCGAACCGGGCCGCCCCGACUAGAAAUUCCCAGGGCGAAUUUGAUGCUUCCGAGGCUGAGAGAUGCUAAGCAGCGUUCGCAGACGUCUUCCAGGCUAACACAAGCGCCAAAUAAUUGAGACAACCCACAAACUCCAGCUCGGCCGCCACCGCAGGAAAGUAAACUAGUAGUUACACAUUUUAAGGAGGCACGUGUCUCGGAGUCAUGCAGGGGCAGGAUCUGGCCCGGAGAGUGCAUGUCUCCUUAAAUGUUGCACCCACUCGUUCGCUUGGCCGCCUCCACAGUCCUAGUCUUGACUAGGAGAGUGGGACUUCAAAAGUAGGAACUUUCCAUUCCUUGCAGGAUGCUUGCCUCCUCUGUAUGGAAACUUGCGAGUCCUCUAGUUUUGUGAAGGGUUUCUCUGUGUAGUCCUGGCUGCCCUGGAACUCACUCCGUAGACCAGGCUGGCCUCAAACUCAAGAGAUCCACCUACCUCCGACUUUUGAAUGCUGAGAAUAACGGCGUGGGCCACUACUACCCAGACAGGGUAUCACAAUGGAGACUGGGCUGGCACAGAACUUACUGUGUAGAACAAGGUAGCCUCAAACUUUUGGCAGUUUUCCUGCCUCUCUGCAGGGUGAGCCUUCAGGAGGGGGGACUGCUCAUGUUCUGCUCUGGGCAGGAUUUCAAGAACACCCCUCCCCUGUCUCAGCGGAUCUAAGGAUGAAACGCCAGCAGUGGAGAGGCCCAGGAAGAUGGACUGGAGCCAUCCAUACAGCUGCCUUCACAAAGCACUCAACUACACAAACCACAGACAAGAGAGCCUUUGAAGGACUGAAGAGGGAUUCAAGCAACAGGCAUGGACAUCCAAAAUCCCGGACCCUGAGGCAGUGGCAACCCCUCCAUGAGAUGCCCAUAACAGGAUACAGUGGCCACAGUCACUGCCUAGUCAUCGUGUUGCAGUCAGUUCUACAAGCCCUCCCAAGACUCAGAAUGGUCAUACAAGGGAUUUUUUUUUAAUAUAUAUUAUAGUAUUUUUUAACUUUUUCCCUUUUCCUUUCUUCCCUCCAAAUUUCCCAUUUACCCUUUCUUGUUCUCUUUGAAAUUCAUGGCCUCUUUUUUCAAUAAUUGUUGUCAUGUGCAUGUCUUCUUCAACAUUCCCUGAGCCUCGGGUAAGGAAGUCAUAAAAGGUUUGACUGUUUUUGACAAAAGCCCAGGUAGGUCAUUUGAAUAAUUAACCAAACACCUAGAAAGCCUCUGUGGGAUUCUUGCUUAAGGGCGUUUCUACUUGCC